rnacentral:misc_RNA from 1 species
UGUUUGCGCAUACAUUAUGACAAUAAAAUACAGUAUGUAUACAAAAUUAUCAUAUUGCUUGAAUUGCUUUGCCAUAGACUAUUUUCUUCUUUCUAAAUCAAUAGAAUGCCUUGAAAAUAAACAAUACAAAAUAUCGUUAAAUUGUAAUUUAUAAUACCUCAUUAUUAUAUUUACCUUUACUAAAGAAAAAAAAGAAAUGUAAAACAUUUUUUUUUAAGUCGAAAUAUUAUGUUGUGUUAUUUAUUUAGUUUUAUAAGUAUUAGUCACUGUGUUCGUUUUGAUUGUGUAGUGCAGGUUGUCUUAUUUAUUGUUAGCACUUUUGGACUAAUUUAAAAUCUUUGUUUUUGCUCAUUUUUAUAAAUUUAAGUUUUAAUUUUUAUAAAUUAGUCUCAAAUAUUCAACACCUUAUAAUAUUUCAGAAAUUACAUUUAUAUUUUUAAGUAAGGAGUAGCAUCGAUCUUUCAAAAUAUACACAUUUUUUGUAAUUUUUAAUGUUAUUUUUAGUUAAAAAAAUAUUUCAUUAUAAUUACAAAGUCAUCUAGUCUUAUGCUAUUUUAUAUGUAUGUAUCUUUUAUCAAUAAGUAGGUAUAAUUUAUAUGUAUGCCUAUUUAGAGUACGUUUAUACAAAAUAUCGAACGAUUGUUGAUACAUUAAUUUUAUCUAUAGAAAUAUUUUAAAUAUUAGUAAUAAACGAAUUUUUUGGUCCUAA